rnacentral:rRNA from 1 species
GAUGAACGCUGGCGGCGUGCCUAAUACAUGCAAGUCGAGCGAACAGAUAAGGAGCUUGCUCCUUUGACGUUAGCGGCGGACGGGUGAGUAACACGUGGAUAACCUACCUAUAAGACUGGGAUAACUUCGGGAAACCGGAGCUAAUACCGGAUAACAUAUUGAACCGCAUGGUUCAAUAGUGAAAGGCGGCUUUGCUGUCACUUAUAGAUGGAUCCGCGCCGUAUUAGCUAGUUGGUAAGGUAACGGCUUACCAAGGCAACGAUACGUAGCCGACCUGAGAGGGUGAUCGGCCACACUGGAACUGAGACACGGUCCAGACUCCUACGGGAGGCAGCAGUAGGGAAUCUUCCGCAAUGGGCGAAAGCCUGACGGAGCAACGCCGCGUGAGUGAUGAAGGUCUUCGGAUCGUAAAACUCUGUUAUCGGGGAAGAACAAAUGUGUAAGUAACUGUGCACAUCUUGACGGUACCUGAUCAGAAAGCCACGGCUAACUACGU